AAGGCUUCAGUAUGACCCAGUCAGAACCAUAAGUCUCAAAGCCUCGACGAGUAGGGUGGCGUGCCGGUGCGCGUUGAAGGCCAAGACGUGAGUCAGGCUGGAGCCGCCGGUAGUGCAGAUCUUGGUGGUAGUAGCAAGUACUCUGGUGAACCAACCUGGAGCUGUGAGGUCUGGAUCAGGGUUCCAUGUCAACAGUGAUUGAACAUGGGUGAGUCGAUCCUAAGCCAACUGUGAAAGCAGUGACAUCCCGACAAAGGGGCUAUUUCGUGCGCCACACCUCUUGCACCCCCGGGCCAUGAGUGCUCAAGUAUCUCUCUCUCUCAAGGACGCAAAAAGGUAUAACAUAUACGCGCUUGCGCGCACACACGGCGAUCGCAUCCUAGAUUCGUGCGUGAGUGUGAUGCGCGUGCGCAGGUCUGAUUACGCUCAUAAGCGUUAAAAGGUAUAGGGUACGCGUUGGCGCGCACACACACUGUGAUCGCAUCCUAGAUUCGUGCGUGAGUGUGUUGCGUGUGCACGCGGGUCUGUCUGGCUCACAACGAGAGUGAGAGAGAAAUAAAAAAGGGUGAGCGCGAGAGGCUCGUCUUGCAUGAGCUCCCUGCGUCUGGUUCCAUGUCUGGCGAAAGGGAAUGGGGACUUUGUUCCUUGACCGGUCCCGGCACCCUCGAUUGGCUUUGCCAGUUAAUGGUCCAUGCAAAUGGAACCAGGCCACAGCCGCCGGCAGUCGCCCGAGGAAGAGUUUUCUUUUCUGCUUAACGCACGAGGUCAUCCCUGGAAACAGUUCGGCUGGCGAAAGGGUGCCCCGUUGCGGCAGAGCGCCACGACUGUCGUGCGCGUCUCGGUGUUCCUGCCGGUCCGUGAAAACGUGGUCGAGGGGAUUGCUGUAUUGUAUCAACGAAACGCCCGACAAGUUCGGGACGGACCGUACCCUAUAUCCGCAUCUGGUCUCCAAGGUUCGUAGCCUCUGCAGAGUCAGACACAUGUAGGUAAGGGAAGUCGGCAAACUCGAUCCGUAACUUCGGGAAAAGGAUUGGCUCUGAGGGCCGAGCUGGGCCGGGCCUUGCCUGCAAAGCAGUACCUAUAGUGACCGGAGUUUCAGGAGUGCGAGGGGCUCUAGUAGCUGCUCGUGCGUGUGUGCGUUCGCGCGUGCGCGCGUGUGGGCACGAACGAGUUCACCGCUCCGCUCCAACCACGAACGGCUGUGACGGCAAGGGCUCUGGGCGGGAGCGAUCAAACCGUUGGCCUCCAGCUCGUCUGGCUGGCGGCGGUGCUCCGUCUGACCCAUACGGCUCCAGCGGCUAGCGGCUAACUCAGAACUGUCAUGGACCAAGGGAAUCCGACUGUCUAAUUAAAACAAAGCGUCGUGACGGCCCCUGUUGGGUGUUGACGCGACGUGAUUUC
rnacentral:rRNA from 1 species